rnacentral:rRNA from 1 species
AGGACGAACGCUGGCGGCGUGCCUAACACAUGCAAGUCGAACGGGGGUAGCAAUACCCCAGUGGCGAACGGGUGCGUAACACGUGAAGAACUUGUCCAUCGGCGGGGGAUAGCCGGCCCAACGGCCGGGUAAUACCGCGUACGCCGUCUGAAGCGCAUGCUUCGGCCGGGAAAGCAGCAAUGCACCGAUGGAGAGCUUCGCGGCCUAUCAGCUAGUUGGCGGGGUAAUGGCCCACCAAGGCAACGACGGGUAGCUGGUCUGAGAGGAUGACCAGCCACAUUGGGACUGAGACACGGCCCAGACUCCUACGGGAGGCAGCAGUGGGGAAUAUUGCGCAAUGGGGGAAACCCUGACGCAGCGACGCCGCGUGUGGGAUGACGGCCUUCGGGUUGUAACCACUGUCGCGAGGGACGAAAAAAAUGACGGUACCUCGAAAGGAAGACACCGGCUAACUCUGUGCCAGCAGCCGC